AAUCCCUGUGAAGAUCAAUUUCAAUAACUAAAAGUAGUGGACUGAUAUCUCCAUUGAUGAACAACGAAUUUGAGGGAUG